rnacentral:rRNA from 1 species
UACGUAGGGUGCAAGCGUUAAUCGGAAUUACUGGGCGUAAAGCGUGCGCAGGCGGCUUUGCAAGACAGAUGUGAAAUCCCCGGGCUUAACCUGGGAACUGCAUUUGUGACUGCAUGGCUAGAGUGCGGCAGAGGGGGAUGGAAUUCCGCGUGUAGCAGUGAAAUGCGUAGAUAUGUGGAGGAACACCGAUGGCGAAGGCAAUCCCCUGGGCCUGCACUGACGCUCAUGCACGAAAGCGUGGGGAGCAAACAGG